AUUGAACGCUGGCGGCAGGCCUAACACAUGCAAGUCGAGCGGAUGAAGGGAGCUUGCUCCUGGCUUCAGCGGCGGACGGGUGAGUAAUGCCUAGGAAUCUGCCUGGUAGUGGGGGAUAACGUCCGGAAACGGGCGCUAAUACCGCAUACGUCCUGAGGGAGAAAGUGGGGGAUCUUCGGACCUCACGCUAUCAGAUGUGCCUAGGUCGGAUUAGCUAGUUGGUGUGGUAAAGGCCUACCAAGGCGACGAUCCGUAACUGGUCUGAGAGGAUGAUCAGUCACACUGGAACUGAGACACGGUCCAGACUCCUACGGGAGGCAGCAGUGGGGAAUAUUGGACAAUGGGCGAAAGCCUGAUCCAGCCAUGCCGCGUGUGUGAAGAAGGUCUUCGGAUUGUAAAGCACUUUAAGUUGGGAGGAAGGGCAGUAAGUUAAUACCUUGCUGUUUUGACGUUACCAACAGAAUAAGCACCGGCUAACUUCGUG
rnacentral:rRNA from 1 species